AUUAUUAAUAUUUAAACUUAUAAAAAUUUUGAUAUAUCAUAAUUUUUUAACAUCAGUUUAAAAAAAUCUUAAUUUUUGCCGUCAUAUUUUAUGAUUCAAAAUUUUAAAAAUGAACAUAUAUUAACCAAUUGGCAAAAAAUGUGUGGGUUCAACGUCCCGCAUCGACAAAAAUAUUUAGACAAUAAUUUAUAAACAUAUCAUAAAUAAGAUCAACAUUAAUAUAAAUAAAUGGGUUUUUUACAGGACGAAUUUGACGGGACGAGUUUGGCAGGACGUUACUUAAUAACAAUUGUAAAUUAUAAAAUAAAAAUAUAUUAUAGAUAUACAAUUUGCAAAAAAA
rnacentral:sRNA from 1 species